rnacentral:rRNA from 1 species
UACGUAGGGUGCGAGCGUUGCCCGGAUUUAUUGGGCGUAAAGGGCGCGUAGGCGGCCUGGCGCGCCGGCUGUGAAAUCUCCCGGCUCAACUGGGAGGGGACGCCGAUGACGGCUGGGCUUGAGCGAGGUAGGGGAGAGUGGAAUUCCCGGUGUAGUGGUGGAAUGCGUAGAUAUCAGGAGGAACACCUGUGGUGUAGACAGCUUACUGGACCACUUCUGACGCUGAGACACGAAAGCGUGGGUAGCAAACAGG